CGGGGCUACUGCUCUGUAAUUGGCAUGGGGGCGACCUUCACCCUCGCCCGAGUACCCAUUGGAGGGCAAGUCUGGUGCCAGCAGCCGCGGUAAUUCCAGCUCCAAUAGCGUAUAUUAAACUUGUUGCAGUUAAAAAGCUCGUAGUUGAAUCUCACGUCCCGCCCUAGUGUUUUCACUAGGCGUGACACCUCGUUACUUUGAGAAAAUUAGAGUGUUUCAAGCAGGUUUUGCCUGUAUAAUUGAGCAUGGAAUAACCUUGUAUGACCCUGUCGUACCGUUGGUUGCCUUGGGUAAUGGUUAAUAGGAACGGUUGGGGGCAUUCGUACUCGACUGUCAGAGGUGAAAUUCUUAGAUUUGUCGAUGACGCACGACUGCGAAAGCAUUUGCCAAGGACGCUUCCAUUAAUCAAGAAC
rnacentral:rRNA from 1 species